rnacentral:rRNA from 1 species
ACGAACGCUGGCGGCAUGCCUAACACAUGCAAGUCGAACGGGACCUUCGGGUCUAGUGGCGCACGGGUGCGUAACGCGUGGGAAUCUGCCCUUGGGUACGGAAUAACAGUGAGAAAUUACUGCUAAUACCGUAUGAUGACGUAAGUCCAAAGAUUUAUCGCCCAAGGAUGAGCCCGCGUAGGAUUAGCUUGUUGGUGAGGUAAAAGCUCACCAAGGCGACGAUCCUUAGCUGGUCUGAGAGGAUGAUCAGCCACACUGGGACUGAGACACGGCCCAGACUCCUACGGGAGGCAGCAGUGGGGAAUAUUGGACAAUGGGCGAAAGCCUGAUCCAGCAAUGCCGCGUGAGUGAUGAAGGCCUUAGGGUUGUAAAGCUCUUUUACCCGGGAAGAUAAUGACUGUACCGGGAGAAUAAGCCCCGGCUAACUCCGU